UCCACUUUGAUAGAGCAGAAACGAAGAAGAAAAAGGCGGAAGUGAUCGUCGUCCUUGUCUUCACUAUGGCCCCCCCUGUUGCGGUGUCGCCGCUCAUUAAGACGGCCAGGUGGUCUGCCCUGUUCCUCGGCGUCUUGUAUGGCAAACAGAGGUUUGAUUACCUGAAGCCCAUCGCAGAGGAGGAGCGGAAGUUGGAGGAGGCUGAAAAGAAGGCCCGAGAGGAGCAGGAGCGCAUUGCCAAACAAUUGGCUGAAGCUAAUUCAGACACCAUCCUCAAGUGAGCGAUCACUUACCUUCUGUUAUGUUCCAAAUUGAAUAAAAGCAGAUUAUUUUU